UACGAAGGGGGCUAGCGUUGUUCGGAAUUACUGGGCGUAAAGCGCACGUAGGCGGACAUUUAAGUCAGGGGUGAAAUCCCAGAGCUCAACUCUGGAACUGCCUUUGAUACUGGGUGUCUUGAGUAUGGAAGAGGUGAGUGGAAUUCCGAGUGUAGAGGUGAAAUUCGUAGAUAUUCGGAGGAACACCGGUGGCGAAGGCGGGUCUCUGGGCCGAAAUUGACGCUGAGGAGCGAAAGCGUGGGGAGCAAACAGG
rnacentral:rRNA from 1 species